rnacentral:lncRNA from 1 species
UUUUUGGCAUUUUUUUGUGGAAUCAUAAAAAAGGGAGGAAAAAUAAGAAGUGUGAAAAAGAAUGACUCAAAAAGAUUAAAAAUACUCAUAGAAAUAAACAUUUGAAGUUGUGAAAAAGAUAAGAAAAAUAAAUUUGGUAAAUGAAAAAUAAUAAAAGGUCUAGGUCGAGGGGGAUUCAAACCCCAAACCUAAGGCUCACAAACACACUCCAAACACAUGCUUCAUCCACUACGGCACAAUGUCCAAGUUAUGGACUAACUGGAAGAUAAAAAAUAUAUAUCAAAUUAAAAUUUAAAAAUUAA